GCUCGUAGCGAUUCUGACGUGCAAAUCGAUCGUCAAAUUUGGGUAUAGGGGCGAAAGACUAAUCGAACUGUCUAGUAGCUGGUUCCCUCCGAAGUUUCCCUCAGGAUAGCUGGAACUUACGGCAGUUUUAGCCAAGAUAAUGCCUACACUUCCACUAAAGAGCCUUCGGUUUUUGGCGGUAUGCUUCCACUGAAUCAAACCCCUAUAGCUACCACCACGAAGAUGCUGAAUCAUAACGUUACGGUUUUUCUACGUCUGACGAGCAACAAAGAGCACAAACGCCAGUUGUUUUGCUAUUUUAUGAGAACUUUUGUACUUUACUUGCCGGUGAAUCUGCCUGGCAAAACUGUGCUUGUGUUCGAUCAGGAAUCCGAACAGGACCACAAAUUUGGCUCGGAAAUGGUAAACAUGACAAAAACAGAUUACCACAUCACAAGUUUAAGGUGAAGUAUGAACCUCUGCCUAAUAAGUCCGUUCAGGUUCGCCAAAGCCGCCGGGAUACAACCGGCAACUGUACCAUGGCUGAGAAAGGACAAUAUGAUCUAAGGAAUUGUGAGCAUACAGUAUACCUUACAAUAUGAUCUAAGGAAUUGUGAGCAUACAGUAUACCUUACAAUAUGAUUCUAAGGAAUUGUGAGCAUAAAGUAUACCUUACAAUAUGAUCUAAGGAAUUGUGAGCAUACAGUAUACCUUACAAUAUGAUUCUGAGUGUCUGUGCCUCCCUCUUGGUACAUAUUACUGACCACCUCGUCACCCCGUCGUGGUAUGUAUUAAUGACU
rnacentral:ncRNA from 1 species